AGAGUUUGAUCCUGGCUCAGGACGAACGCUGGCGGCGUGCCUAAUGCAUGCAAGUCGAGCGGGCUACGAUCUUCGGAUUGUAGCUUAGCGGCGAACGGGUGAGUAACACGUAGGUAAUCUACCCUUCAGAGGAGGACAACCUCAGGAAACUGGGGCUAAACCUUCAUACGUUCACUGGUAGGGAUACUGGUGAAGAAAGAGUUACCUUAGUGGUAGCUGCUGAAGGAUGAGCCUGCGGCCCAUCAGGUAGUUGGUGAGGUAACGGCUCACCAAGCCGAAGACGGGUAACCGGUCUGAGAGGAUGUCCGGUCACACUGGGACUGAGACACGGCCCAGACUCCUACGGGAGGCAGCAGCAGGGAAUCUUGGGCAAUGGGCGAAAGCCUGACCCAGCGACGCCGCGUGGAGGUAGAAGUCCUUCGGGGCGUAAACUCCUGGACUGGGGGACGAGUAAGGACGGUACCCCAGUAGAAAGGGACGGCUAACUACGUGCCAGCAGCCGCGGUAAAACGUAGGUCCCGAGCGUUGUUCGGAUUCACUGGGUGUAAAGGGCGCGUAGGUGGUUGUCUGUGUCUCAUGUGAAAACUCAGGGCUCAACUCUGAGAUUGCGUGGGAAACUAGGCAGCUAGAGGACGGUAGAGGGGAGUGGAAUUCCCGGUGUAGCGGUAAAAUGCGUAGAUAUCGGGAGGAACACCGGUGGCGAAGGCGGCUCUCUGGGCCGAUCCUGACGCUGAGCGCGAAAGCUAG
rnacentral:rRNA from 1 species